rnacentral:rRNA from 1 species
GAGUUUGAUCCUGGCUCAGAUUGAACGCUGGCGGCAUGCCUUACACAUGCAAGUCGAACGGCAGCACGGGAGCUUGCUCCUGGUGGCGAGUGGCGAACGGGUGAGUAAUGCAUCGGAACGUAUCCUGGAGUGGGGGAUAACGUAGCGAAAGUUACGCUAAUACCGCAUAUUCUGUGAGCAGGAAAGCGGGGGACCUUCGGGCCUCGCGCUCUUGGAGCGGCCGAUGUCGGAUUAGCUAGUUGGUGAGGUAAAGGCUCACCAAGGCGACGAUCCGUAGCAGGUCUGAGAGGAUGAUCUGCCACACUGGAACUGAGACACGGUCCAGACUCCUACGGGAGGCAGCAGUGGGGAAUUUUGGACAAUGGGGGCAGUCCUGAUCCAGCCAUGCCGCGUGAGUGAAGAAGGCCUCGG